CAACUACUCCCUCUGUCCCAAAUUUUUUGUCUUAGAUUUUUCUAGAUACGGAUGUAUCUAAUACUAAAAUGUGACUUGAUACAUCCGUAUCUAGACAAAUCUAAGACAAGAAUUUUGGGACGGAGGGAGUACUUU
rnacentral:pre_miRNA from 1 species